AUGGAGAGCCCGGUGCAAGCGGGGUACCAGCCACUUUGGCAAAUCCGGGUGGCAAUGGGAAGCCGUGAUGCGGAGUGAAAUAAAGUAACGAAGUCCGUGAGCCAUGCGUCAAGAAAAGCCGCUAUUGUUUAUACCGUACCCGUACCGUAAACCGACACAGGUGGAUGAGGAGAGAAUCCUAAGGCCGGCGGAAGAAGCAUUGUCAAGGAACUCGGCAAAAUGGCCCCGUAACUUAGGGAUAAGGGGUGCCUCAGAAAUGAGGCCGCAGAGAAUAGGCUCAAGCAACUGUUUAGCAAAAACACAGGUCUAUGCGAAACCGAAAGGUGAGGUAUAUGGGCUGACGCCUGCCCGGUGCUGGAAGGUUAAGAGGAGAGGUUAGCGCAAGCGAAGCUUUGAAUUUAAGCCCCAGUAAACGGCGGCCGUAACGAUAACGGUCCUAAGGUAGCGAAAUUCCUUGUCGGGUAAGUCCCGACCCGCACGAAAGGCGUAAUGAUUUGAGCGCUGUCUCGACAAUGGAUCCGGUGAAAUUGAAGUACCAGUGAAGAUGCUGGUUACCUGCGCCAGGACGGAAAGACCCCAUGGAGCUUUACUCCAGUUUGGUACUGGGACUCGGUAUUGCAUGUACAGGAUAGGUGGGAGGCUAGGAGAUAGUAACGCCAGUUAUUAUGGAGCCGCUGUUGGGAUACCACCCUUGCAGUAUUGGGUUUCUAACCAGCCGCCGUGACCCGGCGGUGGGACAAUGCCAGACGGGGAGUUUGACUGGGGCGGUCGCCUCCGAAAGGGUAUCGGAGGCGCCCAAAGGUUCCCUCAGAAUGGACGGAAACCAUUCGAAGAGUGCAAAGGCAGAAGGGAGCUUGACUGCGACACCGACGGGUGGAGCAGGUACGAAAGUAGGGCUUAGUGAUCCGGUGGUAUUAAGUGGGAAUGCCAUCGCUCAACGGAUAAAAGCUACCCUGGGAUAACAGGCUUAUCACUCCCAAGAGUUCACAUCGACGGAGUGGUUUGGCACCUCGAUGUCGGCUCAUCGCAUCCUGGGGCUGUAGUAGGUCCCAAGGGUUGGGCUGUUCGCCCAUUAAAGCGGUACGCGAGCUGGGUUCAGAACGUCGUGAGACAGUUCGGUCCCUAUCCGGCGUGGGCGUAGGAUAUCUGAGAGGAGCUGUCCUUAGUACGAGAGGACCGGGAUGGACGGGCCGCUGGUGCAUCGGUUAGACUGCCAAGUCUACGGCCGAGUAGCCAAGCCCGGAAGGGAUAAACGCUGAAGGCAUCUAAGCGUGAAGCCCCCCUUAAGAUGAGAUAUCCCAUUCGAAAGAAGUAAACCCCCUUGAAGACGACGAGGUAGAUAGGGCAGAGGUGGAAGUGCAGUAAUGCAUGGAGCUGACUGUUACUAAUCGGGUGAGGGCUUGACC
rnacentral:rRNA from 1 species